AUGAACGCUAGCGACAGGCUUAACACAUGCAAGUCGAGGGGCAGCACAGGUAGCAAUACCGGGUGGCGACCGGCGCACGGGUGAGUAACGCGUAUGCAACUUACCUAUCAGAGGGGGAUAACCCGGCGAAAGUCGGACUAAUACCGCAUGAAGCAGGGGCCCCGCAUGGGGAUAUUUGCUAAAGAUUCAUCGCUGAUAGAUAGGCAUGCGUUCCAUUAGGCAGUUGGCGGGGUAACGGCCCACCAAACCGACGAUGGAUAGGGGUUCUGAGAGGAAGGUCCCCCACAUUGGUACUGAGACACGGACCAAACUCCUACGGGAGGCAGCAGUGAGGAAUAUUGGUCAAUGGGCGUAAGCCUGAACCAGCCAAGUCGCGUGAGGGAUGAAGGUUCUAUGGAUCGUAAACCUCUUUUAUAAGGGAAUAAAGUGCGGGACGUGUCCCGUUUUGUAUGUACCUUAUGAAUAAGGAUCGGCUAACUCCGUGCCAGCAGCCGCGGUAAUACGGAGGAUCCGAGCGUUAUCCGGAUUUAUUGGGUUUAAAGGGUGCGUAGGCGGCCUUUUAAGUCAGCGGUGAAAGUCUGUGGCUCAACCAUAGAAUUGCCGUUGAAACUGGGAGGCUUGAGUAUGUUUGAGGCAGGCGGAAUGCGUGGUGUAGCGGUGAAAUGCUUAGAUAUCACGCAGAACCCCGAUUGCGAAGGCAGCCUGCCAAGCCAUGACUGACGCUGAUGCACGAAAGCGUGGGGAUCAAACAGGAUUAGAUACCCUGGUAGUCCACGCAGUAAACGAUGAUCACUAGCUGUUUGCGAUACAGUGUAAGCGGCACAGCGAAAGCGUUAAGUGAUCCACCUGGGGAGUACGCCGGCAACGGUGAAACUCAAAGGAAUUGACGGGGGCCCGCACAAGCGGAGGAACAUGUGGUUUAAUUCGAUGAUACGCGAGGAACCUUACCCGGGUUUGAACGCAUUCGGACCGAGGUGGAAACACCUUUUCUAGCAAUAGCCGUUUGCGAGGUGCUGCAUGGUUGUCGUCAGCUCGUGCCGUGAGGUGUCGGCUUAAGUGCCAUAACGAGCGCAACCCUUGCCUCUAGUUACUAACAGGUAAAGCUGAGGACUCUGGUGGGACUGCCAGCGUAAGCUGCGAGGAAGGCGGGGAUGACGUCAAAUCAGCACGGCCCUUACAUCCGGGGCGACACACGUGUUACAAUGGCGUGGACAAAGGGAAGCCACCUGGCGACAGGGAGCGAAUCCCCAAACCACGUCUCAGUUCGGAUCGGAGUCUGCAACCCGACUCCGUGAAGCUGGAUUCGCUAGUAAUCGCGCAUCAGCCAUGGCGCGGUGAAUACGUUCCCGGGCCUUGUACACACCGCCCGUCAAGCCAUGGGAGCCGGGGGUACCUGAAGUCCGUAACCGCGAGGAUCGGCCUAGGGUAAAACUGGUGACUGGGGCU
rnacentral:rRNA from 1 species